rnacentral:lncRNA from 1 species
AUACACUCACGCCCUUUGUUAGUUUGCCAGUUCCAUUCAUUAGUGUUAGAAGUAAGCCGUCAAUGCUCUGCAUCUUCUCUUUGAAGACAAAAUAAUGAAAAAGUAAACCAGCCCCAUCAUCAAGAAGAGAAAACAGAGAAAGCAAGCAAUAAAGGAAGGAAGAUUCAGAAGCAAGAAUCCCACCAAAAAAAUUUUAAGUCUUCUGUUCUUUCUUUCUCUUUGGUCUUUUGCUUCUUUUUCAAGCCAAAUCUUUGUUUGCUUUUUAUAUAUAAUGUGUAUAUAAUCUUUAUAUGCUGAUUGUUUCGCCAUUAAAAGCUUUCACGG